AGUGAACGCUGGCGGCAGGCCUAAUACAUGCAAGUCGAACGGCAGCACAGUAAGCUUUCGCCUCUACCGGUGGCGAGUGGCGGACGGGUGAGGAAUACAUCGGAAUCUUCUUAUUCGUGGGGGACUACGUAGGGCCACUUCUGCUACUACCUCAUACGUUCUACGGGUUAAAGCAGUGGAUCUUCGCACCUUGCGUGUUUGUUUGAGCUGGUGUCGGAUUAGCUAGUCGGCGUGGUAAAGGCCCACCAAGGCGACGAUCCGUAGCUGAUCUGAGAGGAUGAUCGGCCACACUGGAACUGAGACACGGUCCAGACUCCUACGGGAGGCAGCAGUAGGGAAUCUUCGGCAAUGGGCGCAAGCCUGACGGAGCAAUGCCGCGUGAGUGAUGAAGGCCUUCGGAUCGUAAAGCCCUGUUAUUAGGGAAGAAAAACUGUGUAAGAAACUCUGCCCGUUUUGACGGUACCCAAUCAGAAAGCACCGGCUAACUACGUG
rnacentral:rRNA from 1 species